rnacentral:rRNA from 1 species
AGUGAACGCUGGCGGUAGGCCUAACACAUGCAAGUCGAACGGCAGCACAGUAAGCGCUUGCUCUUACGGGUGGCGAGUGGCGGACGGGUGAGGAAUACAUCGGAAUCUACUUUUUCGUGGGGGAUAACGUAGGGAAACUUACGCUACUACCGCAUACGACCUACGGGUGAAAGCAGGAGAUCUUCGGACUUUGCGCGAUUGUAUUAGCCGAUGUCGGAUUAGCUAGUUGGCGGGGUAAAGGCCCACCAAGGCGACGAUCCGUAGCUGGUCUGAGAGGAUGAUCAGCCACACUGGAACUGAGACACGGUCCAGACUCCUACGGGAGGCAGCAGUGGGGAAUAUUGGACAAUGGGCGCAAGCCUGAUCCAGCCAUACCGCGUGGGUGAAGAAGGCCUUCGGGUUGUAAAGCCCUUUUGUUGGGAAAGAAAAGCAGCAGGUUAAUACCCCGCUGUUCUGACGGUACCCAAAGAAUAAGCACCGGCUAACUUCGUG